CCCGCUUUGCAGCUAGAGCAAUCAGUUCUGGAUCUGUUUCCAGAGUUUACUAGGUUGAAACAGGAUAUAAAGUCUGAACUAGCAUUUAUAAAGUCGAAGCUUCAGAGUGGACAAGAUAAGAGAGUUGCAUUUCAUGCAAAACUACAACCAAGGAUUGCAGUUAUGGAGCCUUCAAAGACAGUGGUAUUUGAUUACGUUAUCACAAACACUGGAAGCGCUUAUAACAAUCGAAAUGGGCAUUUUACUGCUCUUUAUGAUGGAGUGUAUUUCUUUGUUUCUACAUUUCAUUCGAUGAUGAUAUUUAAUAGCUAUGGUCUACACUUGCAAAUGGUUAAACACAACUAUGUUUUAUUCCAAGCAUCAGCUGGCGCAAGUAGUGAUGGAAGCUCAAUGAAUGCAAUAGUAUCCCUAAAACGAGGUGAUGUUAUCAAAAUACGGAAUAAUCCAAUUCGUAGAGGAACAUUUAAAGAAGGUAUGACUUUCUUUUCUGGUUAUCUUGUGUAUUAAAACCUGAACACAAAUAAUACACGAUUUCCAUAUGGUUAAUUCCAAAUUACUUUGAUUUAUAGUAUUGUAACAGUGCAGAAUUGCCAAUGUCUUGAUAAACUUUUGUGAAACCUGU